rnacentral:rRNA from 1 species
CCGGAUUUACUGGGCGUAAAGGGUGAGUAGGCGGUUAUAUAUGUCAGGUGUAAAAGAUCAUGGCUCAACCAUGGUUGGCACUUGAAACUGUAUGACUUGAGUGCAGGAGAGGUAAGCGGAAUUCCUAGUGUAGCGGUGAAAUGCGUAGAUAUUAGGAGGAACACCAGUGGCGAAGGCGGCUUACUGGACUGUAACUGACGCUGAGACACGAAAGCGUGGGUAGCAAACAGGAUUAGAUACCCUGGUAGUCCACGCUGUAAACGAUGAGUGCUAGGUGUUGGGUAGCGAUAUUCAGUGCCGGAGUAAACACAAUAAGCACUCCGCCUGGGGAGUACGUACGCAAGUAUGAAACUCAAAAGAAUUGACGGGGACCCGCACAAGCAGCGGAGCAUGUGGUUUAAUUCGAAGCAACGCGAAGAACCUUACCAAGGCUUGACAUCCCCUUGACCAGUGCAGAGAUGUACUCUCUUCUUCGGAAGCAAGGGAGACAGGUGGUGCAUGGUUGUCGUCAGCUCGUGUCGUGAGAUGUUGGGUUAAGUCCCGCAACGAGCGCAACCCUUAUCCUUAGUUGCCAGCAUAUAAGGUGGGCACUCUAAGGAGACUGCCUGUGAUAAACCGGAGGAGGUGGGGAUGACGUCAAAUCAUCAUGCCCCUUAUGUCUUGGGCUACACACGUGCUACAAUGGUCGGUACAACGGGGAGCGAAGGAGUGAUCCGGAGCAUAUCCCAAUAAACCGAUCCUAGUUCGGAUUGCAGGGCUGCAACUCGCCUGCAUGAAGUCGGAGUUGCUAGUAAUCGCGAAUCAGC